AUUAGUUUUUUAAUUGGAGGCUGGAAUGAAUGGUUGGACAAGGGAUAAUCUGUCUCAAUAAAAAAUAUUGAAUUUAACUUUUAAGUGAAAAGGCUUAAAUGAUCUGAAGGGAAGAUAAGACCCUAUAAAACUUUAUAUUUAAAGAUACAGAUUAUUUUUGUUUGUAAGUUGUUAUUUGAUAGUAUUUGGUUGGGGCGACCAGGAUAAAAGUAUUAAUAACUGUCUUUUUUUUUUACAGUAAUGUUUGAUUUGGUGACCCUAAAGGGGAGCGAAAGAUUAAGUUACUUUAGGGAUAACAGCGUAAUUUUCUUUGAGAGUUCUUAUCGACAAGUAAGUUUGCGACCUCGAUGUUGGAUUAAAGGUUCUUUAUGGAGUAGAUACUAUAAAAGAAGGUCUGUUCGACCUUUAAAAUUUUACAUGAUUUGAGUUCAAACCGGUGUGAG
rnacentral:rRNA from 1 species